AGCUUUUGACAUGGGGAUUAAGAGUUUGAGAGAUCAGACUUGUCGGUUCGGCCGGAUCCCGCAC
rnacentral:rRNA from 1 species